rnacentral:rRNA from 1 species
UCCAGACUCCUACGGGAGGCAGCAGUCGGGAAUAUUGCGCAAUGGAGGAAACUCUGACGCAGUGACGCCGCGUAUAGGAAGAAGGUUUUCGGAUUGUAAACUAUUGUCGUUAGGGAAGAUACAAGACAGUACCUAAGGAGGAAGCCCCGGCUAACUACGUGCCAGCAGCCGCGGUAAUACGUAGGGGGCAAGCGUUAUCCGGAUUCACUGGGUGUAAAGGGAGCGUAGACGGCGACGCAAGUCUGGAGUGAAAGCCCGGGGCCCAACCCCGGGACUGCUCUGGAAACUGCGUCGCUGGAGUACGGGAGGGGCAGGCGGAAUUCCUGGUGUAGCGGUGAAAUGCGUAGAUAUCAGGAGGAACACCGGCGGCGAAGGCGGCCUGCUGGACCGUGACUGACGUUGAGGCUCGAGAGCGUGGGGAGCAAACAGGAUUAGAUCCCCGCGUA